AGAGUUUGAUCCUGGCUCAGAUUGAACGCUGGCGGCAUGCUUUACACAUGCAAGUCGAACGGCAGCACGGGUGCUUGCACCUGGUGGCGAGUGGCGAACGGGUGAGUAAUGCAUCGGAACGUACCCAGUCGUGGGGGAUAACGUAGCGAAAGUUACGCUAAUACCGCAUACGACCUGAGGGUGAAAGCGGGGGACCGUAAGGCCUCGCGCGAUUGGAGCGGCCGAUGUCUGAUUAGCUAGUUGGUGGGGUAAAGGCCCACCAAGGCGACGAUCAGUAGCGGGUCUGAGAGGAUGAUCCGCCACACUGGGACUGAGACACGGCCCAGACUCCUACGGGAGGCAGCAGUGGGGAAUUUUGGACAAUGGGGGCAACCCUGAUCCAGCCAUGCCGCGUGCGGGAAGAAGGCCUUCGGGUUGUACCCCCCUUUCUGACAGAAAGAAAUCGCCAUUUUUAAUAAAGAUGGUGGAUGACGGUAC
rnacentral:rRNA from 1 species